UUCCAUGGCGGACGGUGCGUGGGGAUCCCUGAUCCGCCGGUUGAACUGGGUCCAGACUUGCCGGUACUGCUACCCGCACCGUCCGCCACCUCG
rnacentral:antisense_RNA from 1 species